AGUGAACGCUGGCGGUAUGCCUAAUACAUGCAAGUCGAGCGGACGCACAAUAAGCGCUUUCUCUUACGGUUGGCGAGUGACGGACGGGUGAGGCAUACAUCGGAAUCUACUUUUUCGUGGGGGACAACGGAGGGACACUUACGAUAAUACCUCAUAUGAUCUACCGCUUAAAGCAAUAGUGCAUCGCGGCUUGCCCGAUACUUAUAGCCGGUGUCGCAUUAGCUAGUUUGUAGGGUAAAGGCUCACCAAGGCGACGAUACGUAGCUGGUCUGAGAGGGUGAUCGGCCACACUGGAACUGAGACACGGUCCAGACUCCUACGGGAGGCAGCAGUAGGGAAUAUUGGGCAAUGGGCGCAAGCCUGAUCCAGCAACACCGCGUGAGUGAUGAAGGCCUUCGGGUCGUAAAGCUCUGUUGUUGGGAAAGAACAAAAGUGUAAGUAAAUAUCCCUGUCUUGACGGUACCCAAAGAGAAAGCACCGGCUAACUUCGUG
rnacentral:rRNA from 1 species